rnacentral:rRNA from 1 species
UUUAUGAANCNNGGGNCGCCGNUGUNNNNGCAAGUCGAGCGAACAGAUAAGGAGCUUGCUCCUUUGACGUUAGCGGCGGACGGGUGAGUAACACGUGGGUAACCUACCUAUAAGACUGGGAUAACUUCGGGAAACCGGAGCUAAUACCGGAUAACAUUUGGAACCGCAUGGUUCUAAAGUGAAAGAUGGUUUUGCUAUCACUUAUAGAUGGACCCGCGCCGUAUUAGCUAGUUGGUAAGGUAACGGCUUACCAAGGCANACGAUACGUAGCCGACCUGAGAGGGUGAUCGGCCACACUGGAACUGAGACACGGUCCANACUCCUACGGGAGGCAGCAGUAGGGAAUCUUCCGCAAUGGGCGAAAGCCUGACGGANCANCGCCGCGUGAGUGAUGAAGGGUUUCGGCUCGUAAAACUCUGUUAUUAGGGAAGAACAAACGUGUAAGUAACUGUGCACGUCUUGACNGUACCUAAUCAGAAAGCCACGGCUAACUACNUGCCAGCAGCCGCGGUAAUACGUAGGUGGCAAGCGUUNUCCGGAAUAUNGGGCGUAAAGCNCGCGUAGGCGGUUUCUNAAUNUUAAU